rnacentral:rRNA from 1 species
GACGUAGGGCGCGAGCGUUGUCCGGAUUUAUUGGGCGUAAAGAGCUCGUAGGCGGCUUGUCGCGUCGACUGUGAAAACCCGCGGCUCAACCGCGGGCCUGCAGUGGGUACGGGGCAGACUAGAGUGCGGUAGGGGGAGAUUGGAAUUCCUGGUGUAGCGGUGGAAUGCGCAGAUAUCAGGAGGAACACCGAUGGCGAAGGCAGAUCUCUGGGCCGUAACUGACGCUGAGGAGCGAAAGCAUGGGGAGCGAACAGG